GUUUUGCGUCCUCAGAGAAUAGUCUAGAUUCUGCUUUAAAGAAAGAUACACCUCAGAGUAGUGUUUCAACGAAUGGGUCGCCUCCUUCGCCUUCUGAAACCUCUCAAUCGAUCUCCGGUCCGUCUGAGGUCUCGGCAUCUCUGACCAAGAAAGACAAAAUCAUAGAAGCUUCUGAGGGUGAAACUGAUUCCUCUGUUGCAAUGUCAGACAAUUCGUACGUCUCACCGGG
rnacentral:misc_RNA from 1 species